CAUCCGUGGACACAUCCUGGAACCGUAAUAGAAAUUUGCAAUGAGAAUAUCGUUUGGACCAGUGUUAGUAAAACAUACAUGCGCACACAAUGAAGCAGGGUUGCAUUGAUGGAUAUGAUUAUGCAUGCGUUGGUUAUUUUUAACACACAAAAGAAGUGCUUUCAUGGAUCGGCACUCACAUGAAGUGAUAAAAAAUGAUAUGGAAUAACUAUAGCGUAGUGGGAUGAACACCCAGCUAAGGUGUACCGGUAUGAAGUGAGCGUUAAGAUACAAAUGUGUUGGUAGGGAACAUUUGUUGUGAACAAGCCUUAACUAUUCCAACGGAUUUUAUUCCAGCAACUUCUUUCAUUAAAACCCUUCCACGAAGUUAUGAGCUUUCAAAAUUCAACCAAUUUUUGAAAAUUUGAUUUCAAAUGAGUGCAUUAUGUUAGCUACACAUUCAGCGCCGAUUUAAAAAAUAUAAUUUUUAAAAUAAAUCCGAAAUGAAAAGCUGUGUCUAGAAAAGGCUGGACGAAGAGAAUGCUACAUUUGUGUUUGAAAGUUUUUCGAUCACCACGUAGGAGAGAUUUUGUAUAUUGCUAUUUAUUGCUGAGGUCCUGCUUAUGCUUUGAAAAUAAUUUAAUUUUAAGGCUGUACAAAUAAGGCGUAGAUCUCGACAAAGUGAGGUUAUCUCAUCUGUGCUGUCACGAAAAACGUAGGACGAUGAAAGUUUCUGCUACUGAAAGAGCUAUAUAAAGAACGUGAAGAGGCACAAAUGUUUCAAAAGGGCAGAGAGUUCUGUGCUUAAUGGAAAAAGUAUAAAGAAAAAACACAAAAAACUCUUUUAUAUCACGAUGGCAAAUUAUGGGUGCUGCUUGUGAAUCUUCUAUUUCGGAAACUGAAAAAUCAGCUCUGUUGUACUCGUUCCGAUUCGUUUAAGUUGUGAAAGGAAGCAACCAGAAGUCAUGAUUAUACUUGAACUUCGAUUCAUUAGUAACAUGUUUGUAUUGAUCUCAAAAUUCGAUGUUUGAAGAUGGUUAUAAAGGUUAUUGCAUAAAAACGAUCCAUCCUAAAUAUUUAAACCGUGUUUGAUUUUAUAAAAAUUAAUAAUAUGACCGUCGUGUUGUUGGAAUUUUAUGAUAAACUCUUUUAAGUCAAUAUAUAGAACGUUGAAUUACAAAAUAUUGUAAUUUGCAAAACAAAUGCAACAAAAACAAUGUAAUAAUAAAAUUAAACUCCACUUACCUCUUUACUGCUUUGUGAAAAUGUGCUCAAAUGAGCUUCGGAGUGAUCGCCAUUUUGUACAUUCUCACCUGAAAAUGCAAUUGCAAAGUUAAUAUUAAUAAAAGAGUAACAAAAAAAUUUAUAUUUCAAAUUUAAAAACAAACCGAUUUUACGCAAAUGAAGGCUGCUGAUGGCAAACAACUAAUGCACAAAUACUAAUUAUAUACAAAACAUAAGCAAAUAUGACAUGAGUGGAGUGAGAUUUGGGGUUUGUUGGGUGUGUAUGUAUAAAAAAUGAGUGCAUAUAUUAUAUAAUAUAUAUACAUGUGUGUUUAUAUACAUGCAUAUGUUAAAGUGGCAUUGUGGAAUCUGAAAAUGUUGCGAAAUGUGUGAAAAUGUUGCAGCAAAUUUUCAAAGUGUAUGAUUGUUCGAUGGUUAAUUUUUGUUUGUUAGAAUAAAUUAGUAUGUACAUAUGUACAUAUAUAUACAGCGUUUACCCAAACACAAAUUAAGCUACUUUAGCAUGCAUAUAAUCACAUGUAAAAAAAUUAAAUAAAUUCACAAGUUGUGUACAUAAUUCAUAUGUAGUGCUUGAAGUUUUCAUUAAUCGUAAUACUUUUUGUUUUUCAAAUAUUUAAAUCAUUAUUUAAUACUUAUUUUUAAGUAACAUGCAGUUUUUAAAUACUACAAUAUAAAAAUUAUAUUAAAAUGAAGAACAAAAAUUAAUCAUUGAAAAUAAAAUUAUAAAAUCAUGUUUACCUGUUUCACCUUGAUUAGUGCUUCACUUACAUAAAAUUAUGCAUAAAUUGUUUAAUUCUUAUAGUCUAGUUGAGCUCUUGUAUGCUUAAUUUGUAGGCUUCUUGUUUCCAUUGCUUAAACUGCUUAAAAAUAGUUAGCUUAAUAUUAGAAUUUAUUUUAGCUUAGAGUUGAUUGAUCACUUAAUGGUGCUUAAACAGCCGUUUGACGGCACUCUUUUACCAAAACACAUUGUGACAUAAUAAUUCAGUUAAGACUAUUUAAUUAACCUUUUCGACUUAAUAUGAAGACUGUUGAUGUUGUUGUAAAAUCUAUAUAAAAUGUGCCACAAAUAAUUUAGGACGAGGAGAGUGUAUUUGACCAAUUCCCAAAAGCUAGUGAUAUGUUAAUUUCGCUGAAGAACGUUCCACAUAAUAAGUUCAGUUAAUUAAAUUACAACAGAUCGCUCUAGCGGGAAAUAUUGAUGAAGAGCGAAAUUUUUUUAUAAAAUAUAUGUAUCCUGUACUUUCUUGUGCUGCUAAGUCUGUUUUUAUCAGUUUUAAAAACAGUUAUCCGUUAAUAAUUAUCUUUAAGGUCGACUUGAAAGUUGAGGUUAUGGUAAACAAAUUUUGAUAAAAUGGUUGGCUAAGUGAGGAGAAGGUUUAAGGGUUUUAAUUGCUAAUUGUACUUAUAUACAUAUGUUAGGUCCGAACACAGAGCAACACAGUAACACUUUUACGACCUUUGGUUUCCAGAGACUUACUCCAGAUUGAACAUUUUAAAACGAAUAAUACUUUCAGUGUUACUACAGUGUGUCUGAUAACUAUCAACAUGAAAUCAAAUUCGAGACUAUCUUAGCUGAGGUCUCAGUUUUUUUUUUUUUUUUUCUUGGAAAUUUAAAGGCAUUUUUUCACCCAUACAAAUUACACCAUAUUAGAAAUAUGUACGCUGUUGAACACAUUUAAAUGUAUGACUAGUUUACACUAACCAACACAAUAUUUAUUUAAAAAAGAACCGAAUAAUAUAAAAAAUAUAUGUUAAUAGGUAUUUUUAACUGUGUUCUGAAAAUAUCCGAAGCUUUAAUUUUUAGUAAAACUUUUAGUAAAUUUUUUUUUAGCAUAUUUCUAUAAAAAAAAAUGUUGUAAUUUUGUAUUUAGAAAAGUAAUGCAAAAUAUAAUUCUUUAUUUGAAAAUAAAAUGAAUCACAAUUUCAUUUUUUAAUGUUUUUUAAGUUUAAAGUUUAAAGUUUAAAGUUUUAGUUCUUUAAAGCUAUUUUUCAAUCAUUUUUGAAUACUUUUGAAAAAUUGUAAUUGAAUUACCUUUUUUUUUUUUGUUUUGAAAAAUAAUAGCAUUUCAUAUGUAAAAAAAUAUCUUCAUUACGUACUCCACUUGGCUUUUGUGCACGAAUUUAACCUAAAGAAUUCAAAUAUUUUUUUAUAAAAUAAAAAUUUAAUAAUAUAAGAGUCCACUAAUUGUGUUACACUUCAAUAGUGUAGUAUUUAAGAAAUGUUUGCACACUGGCAGUUCACUUGCCGGCACUUAGGGAGGUGCGCAACUCCUUCGAUAUCCUCGCCACCUUCAUCUUGCAGUCACACAUGACCGCGUGAUUGUGCAACGCAUUGGCGCAGAUGAUGCCAUUCAACAGGUUCUCUAACUCCUGUUCGAGCAUUGCGACCACCUCGCGCUGUUGAGGUGACAGCGGUUGAUCGGCUUUAGUGGCAGCGCCAUCCACGUAGCAGGUGGAGUCCGUAGAAUUACAAGAUGCUGCGCUGUGCGAAUGGGAUUGUGUGUGCGCCGUUUUGCUGCGCUUGCACUGCUUACCGGCACCUAGAGUACCUGCUAAACGCAAGUCGCUCAAAGUCUCCAGAUGUGCGGUGUGUUGCAAGAGAUGACGUGCGCUAGCGUGCGACAAGUCGAGUAGUGAACUUUCAUUAUCGGUCGAGUGCUGCUGUGCACCGGCACUCAACUGCUGAGCAAUCACGUUGAUCUCCUCGUUAAUGAUGCGCUCCAAUUUGCGACGAAAUUCCGACUCGUGCGUUUGCAAUGUGCGCGCGCAAUCCGAGUUCUUCACAUUAAUGUUGAUAUGUAUCUCCAGCGAACGCAAUGAUGAGGCUGCUGAUGAAGAGCCAGCUUCCGAUAGCGAAGCGGUGACAUGUCGAUAAUGUUCGUGUGGUAGACCAACGCUUAUGGCGGCGACGGUGGCGGCGGGAGUUUCCGGCGUAACAUGCGCAGAAUGGCGAUUUGGUGCAGCGGACUGAGUUUUCGAAUUCAAAGUCAAUUUAAUUUGUUUGUGUGAGUGAUGGGCGUACAAAUGCGUAUCAUCGGGUUCCUCAUCAUCGCAUGAGUUAUGUAAUUUGCGCACUUUUGGUGUGGAAGUAAGCAAUUUCGCAUCUGUAUGAUGUACUUCCUGUUCCGAUUCGGGUUUGUGUUCGGGCAUCUCAUGCGUUUGCGCAUGUGCGGGUACAAAAUCGCGCAGCAAAUACUUAGCACGUUGGGUGGUGGGCGAGUUAUUACGCGCAAAUACCGCGCUAUAAUUAUCACCUGAGUCGUCAUCAUAGUGUUGUUGUUGGUGGACGCCGUCAUCGAUAUGAUGAUGCUCCUCUUCCGCCUCCUCGUCAUGAUAGUGCACUAGAUCGGCGGUGUGGCUAUGCGAGCCAGCUGGAUAAGAGGUGCCACCGAUGGAGAGCAACGAUGAAAAUUGCUCGGAGAGCGAAUGUGCGUCUGUCAGCUGUGGCGUAAGCAUAUCACGAUCAUGUUCGGAUAGCUGUUGUACGCCACCGGCUAUGCUCGCACUCUCACAACCACGUUCACUCGACACCUUGCUGAUGCGCCGUCGCCGUUUGGUAGGCUCCAAUUUUAUUUCUUUUACCGAAAUAUAUGAGCCAUUCGAAUCAUUGUUGUGUGUGCUGUCGCUGUGCGUUGGUGUGUGUUGUGCCGCCCCCUCCUUGCUAGCAUUACUGGUUAGUCGUAGCGCUUCGCAGGAUUUCAAGCGUGGCGCACGCGGCUGCCGAGUUGAGUAAAGUUCACAUUGUUGUUGUUGUUGUAAAUAACCAGUAUUUAAACUCAAAGCAGUCGAUUUAAUGAAAGCGAUUACCUUUUCACGCUGCAACUGUACGGCGGUGAGCAAGUGAGCUGGAUGUAUGGUGAUGUGUGGUUGAUAUGUUAUCGGAUAGUUAAAGCCAUAAUGAGAGCAGGUGCGAUAGGGCUGCAUUGAGUAGGUGUCAGCAGGCGGCGAAGAAGAUAAUGAUGUCGUAUGAGUGACUGCGCCCGCUGCGCAUUUGUCGCGUUCGGCGUCCUCAUGUUCGCGUUCUAGCUCAAUUUGUUUGGGUGAGCGCUCCAAGUUGUUGGUGUUUGCCUUGAGCUGAGCCGCUCCAUCUGGUAAUGGAUAUGUGUAAUGUGGAAAUAUUUCAAUUUUAUGUAUCAUCCAAACAUUAAACACCAGCAAAUGUUGCCUCGGAUAUAUUUUGCUCAAAUCUGCGUUGCGCGGCUUAUACAGAAAAGCAUAUUUCUCAGCAAUUGCUGCCAGACUUGUAAAAUUGUGCACAGUUUCGAUUUUCAAGUGGGUAUAUUUGUGUGAUGAAUGAAUCUCAUAUGCUUGAUGAGUAUGGUUAAUAUGAAUUUUUGUGUUUGUUGUAAGUGAUAAUGGAGUUUGUUGUUGGUGGAAUGUAGCUGUAAUGGCAUGAGAAAUGGUAUAUGGGUAUGUGAGACACGAGAGGCAAAACGUCCGACAUAUUCUAAUAUGUACGCGUACUCAACACAUGUAGACAAACGAAGACAAAACGAUUUAAUGAAUUUCAACGAAAACGAGACGAUACGGGACGACAAUUUGACAAGUUACGAAUAAAAAUACAAUUCAUAUAUUGGCACAUUUGUUGUAGGUUAGUCUCAAGGGUCUAACAUCAACUUCGCAGAUACGAAUAUUUAAACUCUGUUUUAUGGAACACUUUUAAGUUGAGAGAAAACCACAGUGAUAAGAGAGUUUUAACGGAUAUAUGCAAAUAGCUAUGGGGGAAAUAAUUUGCGGUUCUCAUCAGCCAACUAGAGAGUCUGACGCUCGCAAUAACGUUUACGAGAAGAGACUUAAUAAAGUUCCUGGAUGACACUCAUUGAAUGAUGCCAAUCGCCAGUUUAUAAUGUACUUCGUCCGAUGUUGCUUAAUUGGAUGGUUUAAUCGCGUCAAUAUACUUAGGGAAACCACUCUUAAUGUUUCUGGAAUAUAUUUUUGUUUCAUGUAAAUGUCUGAGGCGUGAUUUCGAUGGUAGAAACAUAACAGUUAUUGUUUGUUCGUUAUGAUUCUUAACGGCAAGCGAGUAAAUAUAGUUUCUCAUAAACAUCUCCGAAGCUUCUUCUACUGCGCCCUUAUUGUCCUUUGAGACAAUAACGUUGUUUCGUAAGUCAUGACCAGUCGAGCAAUUUCGUUGUAAAUUGUCGAUUAUGUCUCUUUGUCUUUUCCUUCGAGUGCUGACGGCUGGCGAUUUGACGAUUGAGCGCUAAGUAGACCCUUACUACUUCAUUUAGAGCUGCUUGAACUUUAAAAGAAGUUGCUAAAAUUUUACGACAAGUAUUUUACCCCUGAGUAAGCGUCUUGACAGUAAUUUGGGAUGAGAAAUAAUUGUCAUCACUGCCAUAAAAUUAUCCACACACUUGUAAGGAGAUCUAAUUACUAACAUAUUCAAGACAUGUAAUUAGAUAACUGUUAUUUGCGCGAGUAAUAAUGUUUUUAAAAAAAAAUCUUGACAUUAAAAAAAAUUUUACUCUUCAAAAGGGAUAUUCAUAAUCACAGUAGAACCUA